GGCUGCAUGGUGUAGUUGGUCAUCACGUAUCCUUAACACGCAGCGAUUCGGAUAAGGUCCUCAGUUCAAACCUGGGUGCGGUCA
rnacentral:tRNA from 1 species